UUAUUUUGAGAAAGUUAAACAAGAUUCAGAUUCAACCCCCCUUUCUAUCUCUCUCUCGCUCUCUCUCUCUCCACAAUUCUCUUCAACAAGCCCCGACCCCGGCAACCCAAAAGCAAAACUAACUCUGCCUUAGAUCCCUUCCCAUCCUUUCUCUCUCAAUUCCAUCUACUUUUCUUCAAUAACGAUGAGUCGUCCUCCGAUUCCCUUCAAGAUCCCCAUUCACUCUUUGCUGAAUUCACAAUCCCCAAUUUUCUAGGGUUUCAAUUUUCAAUCUCAAGAGGAGAAUGGUGAAGCGGAAGGCGUCCUGGCGGAGGAGGAUGUUCUCCUCACCAUCAUUGACCCAAUCCAAGCGGUCGUCAUUCUCUCUGUCGAUGUUCCCAAUGUCGGUAAUCCUUCGAAAGCUUCAAGGUAGGCGUACGACUCCUUUAGGAUAGAGGGAACAAGGGCUUACAACUGCUGGGCUCUUCAACUCCUGUUUCUGGUUAGUUUUGGAACUCUCGAGACCUCGACCCAUUUUGUUCAACCCAAGCCUGGGACGGAGACCGAACUUCCUCUUCCAAUUUCGGCCACCUCUGAUCAACGGACCACUGGCAUUAGGACCAUCUCGCGACGCCUAUAGCUUGGGUUUCCACCAACGAGCUCCAACGAAGCCAAUUCGAAGCCGAGAAAUUUCCACGGUUCCAGCUGCUCUUCUUCAUUUUCCGGCAACUCUGGUAGCCGAUGACGACAUGCAAGAGUUCACUACUCGCAGCGGGUGUCUCCUGUUCUUACCGGUUAAAGAAGAAACUUGAACCUCUACAGUUUAAUUGAAAGAGUCAUAUAUGGAGAAACGAUUGAGACUACUUCGAGUCAAGGUAAACCAUUCUCGGCAUAUUCUUGUGAUUUUGAAGUUGGGUUGUCAAUCUAAAACUAACUGCCAUGUUGUAAAUUGAAUGGUUGAGUUUGGAGGAAAACGCAGAAAUACGAAGGGAAUGGGACCCAGAAGCUUGAGGAUGAAGAGAAGUGGGAACCUAUAUUUUUAGGCUCUGCUCAUGGAUUAUUAAUGAAGAUUUCACAUGAAAGGUUGCUGCAGGUUGUUACAUACUCCAAAACCCAAAUUGGGUUUUAGACAGAAAACUGAAUAUAAAAGUUUCUAGGUAUAUAUUGAGUCAUUGAUUACCAGAUUUUCACCAUGGGGGGAGCUUGUUCUAGGAAGAGAAACCAUCGAGAUGAUGAAGAUAAUUUUCCUAGAGGGAUUUCCAGAAGAUAUUCAAAAAGUGGGAGUUCAAAGUGCUUGGCAACCUCCUUCUCUCGACCUGCUAUAGAUAUUCAACAUGAAAAAGGGCAAUGCCCAUCCCUCAUGGACUUCUACGUACGGCAAAUACGUGAGCGUGCAAGUGCCAAGGAACUGCUAAAGCACUGCUUUAUUAGGACUGCUAGGAAGAGUCCAAGACUUCUUGAGAGAAUAAGGAUUUUUGGGUGUGAGAACUCUAGCUGGAGAACAAGAGGAUGAUGGGCAGUUCUAUUAGAGAAACAGAGAGGACAAGCCUUUUGAGGGCAUGAGAAGAAACUGGUUUGAGGUUAAGAAAAGUGCUAAGCAAGGGCAGAAGGAAGUGGACUAGUACAAUAUGUUUCUGGCCUUGAUGUUUAGGUAGGGUUAUUAUGUUAAUGUUGAGGUGAUGAUGGAAUGAAUUGGUUUUGAAUGUUUAAUCAAUGGAUAUGUUUUUGAAUGUUGGUCAAUUGGUUUUGGUUAAA